rnacentral:lncRNA from 1 species
CUAGGGUCACACAUCUGAUGCUCAUCUUUUCCUUUUUUUUUUUUUAACUUUACCUUCUGUUUUAAAAUCAAUAUUGUUUAUUGGCUUCAAGGCAGAAGAGUGGUACAAAUAUUGGUUAAAUGACUUCCCCACUGUCACACAGCUAGGAAGUAUCUGAGAUCAAAUUUGAACCCAGGACCUUGGUCUUUAGGCCUGGCUCUCAACCCACUGAGCCACCCAGCUGUCCCCUAUUCUCACCUUUUCUAAACAUUUCUCAAUCUUUCAUUCUAUCGGCCCAUGCCUUUCUGACUACAGGAAGUUCACUGCUUAUGGAGCCCUGCAUAUUCUUUUUUAUUCUACCAGUGACACAAUUAUAUUAGCCUCUGGGGAAGCUUCUGGCUGACUCUGGACUCCCAGUAAAAACUUAGUUUUGGAUGUCCCAUUUUCCAAAUAUCAAUGCUUUGGGGGAAUGAUGUUUUGUCUGUAAUGCUGACUCUCAGGGCUUCAUGACCUCUGACAUAGGCAUGACUGAGACAAUAGGGAAGGACUCAGAAAGUAUUAAGGAUGUCACAUUUCCUGAGUUGGUGACAUCCGGUCCUUCCCUGUACUUUAUGUCCAAAUUUCAGGAAGAUUGCCAGCAGCCAGAUACAAAACUUUGCCACGAAUACAAACAACAUGGCAAAUCCAGCUGAGUGGUGGGGAUUGCUGGGGUGGCAGGGAGAUUUGUGAGUAGGGAAUGGGAGUUCAGUAUGGCUCUGGGAAAAUCUGACAUGGAUGUAGAUUAUCUUCUAUUCCUCUAUCCUUUUCCCUUGACCUCUGCUACUGGUUUGCAUCUUCUCUCCCUUCUCCUUUAUCGGUGUUCUUAUUUCCUCCUAACUCCCACAGUCUGUGGACCAGUUGGGAGUUCCCCUGCCCUUUCAGCCAUGGAAGAAAUGUGGCCCCUCUGGAUGCUGAUGCCUGGUUGCCUUUCUUUACUUAUUCUCGAUCUUGUUCCUAUCCUAUCCCUGUGAGGGUGGGUAGGAUCCGGAAUCCCAAUGUAUAUCUGGAAGGAAAUGGCUUACGUUGGCAAGAGAGGCAGGAAAGGAGAGGGAAGGGAACCUACCGAGUGCCAGGUGCUAAGUGCUUUUUACAAAUGAUCUCAUUUGAGGUGGCCCCGUGGACAGAUACAGUGCUUGGAAUCAGGAAGAUCUGUCUCAGAAAGCUCCUCACUAUCCAGCCCUUGGUGUUAUGGAAGAAAAAUCUCCUUUUUGAGUUCAUGUGGUUGGUAACUGCUGCCAAAAUGGAUCUCCUACAAUGCAGAAAUUGUAAAGCUUCUUCAGAGCCUGGGACAGAAAAAAACCACAAGGGAAGAGGCAAGCCCAAGCUGUCUGGAAAAAAAAAGGAAAGAAAAUUGCAGGAAAAUGUUUCAAUCUGUUUAAAACAGAGUUUAUGUUUCAAAAUAUCCCCCUAAUAACUCUCAAGUGAGAGCUGACAAACAAGGUGGAAUAGGUAAGAUAAAAAAAGUUGUCCAGGCAUCGAUCCCAGAAAAGUUAGAUAACUUUUGCAUUAAAUUUAUUUUUAUGUGAAUGAAAAGGAUAUAAACAUACACACACACAGAAAUAAAUGCUACCAUGUGCUAGGCUGUUUAUGUUUA